rnacentral:rRNA from 1 species
AGCAGCCGCGGUAAUUCCAGUUCCAAUAGCGUAUAUUAAAGUUGUUGCAGUUAAAAAGCUCGUAGUUGAAUUUCGGGAUCAAUAUGUCGGUCGUGCCUUGGUACGUACUGGUAUCAUUGGUCUCUCCUUUCUGACGAACCAUGAUGUCAUUAAUUUGGUGUUAUGGGAAGUUAGGACUGUUACUUUGAAAAAUUAGAGUGUUUAAAGCAGGCUUUAGCUUGAAUACAUUAGCAUGGAAUAAUGAAAUAGGACGUUCGAACCUAUUUUGUUGGUUUCUAGGAUCAACGUAAUGAUUAAUAGGGAUAGUUGGGGGCAUUAGUAUUCAAUUGUCAGAGGUGAAAUUCUUGGAUUUAUUGAAGACUAACUACUGCGAAAGCAUUUGCCAAGGAUGUUUUCAUUAAUACAAGAACGAAAGUUAGGGGAUCGAAGACGAUACAGAUACCGUCGUAGUCUUAACCAUAAACUAUGCCGACUAGGGAUCGGAUGAUGUUAAUUUUUAAUGUACUCAUUCGGCGCCUUA